UACCUGGUUGAUCCUCCAGACAUAUGCUUGUCUCAAAGAUUAAGCCAUGCAGUGUAAGUAUGAACAAAUUCAGACUGUGAAACUGCGAAUGGCUCAUUAAAUCAUUAUAGUUUUUUGAUGUAAUCUUGCUACUUCGGAUAACCGUAGAAUUCUAAGAGCUAAUACGUGCAACAAACCCCGACUUCUGGAAGGAUGCAUUUAUUAGAUAAAAGGUCGACGCGGCUUUGCCCGUUGCUGCGAUGAUUCAUGAUAACUCGACGGAUCGCACGGCCCUUGUGCCGGCGACGCAUCAUUCAAAUUUCUGCCCUAUCAACUUUCGAUGGUAGGAUAGUGGCCUACUAUGGUGGUUGACGGUGACGGAGAAUUAGGGUUCGAUUCCGGAGAGGGAGCCUGAGAAACGCUACCACAUCCAAGGAAGGCAGCAGGCGCGCAAUUACCCAACCUGACACGGGAGGUUAAGUGAACAAUAAAAUAACAAUACCGGCGCUCAUACGAUCUGGUAAAUUGGAAUGAGUACAAUCUAAAUCCCUUAAACGAGGAUCCAUUUGGAGGGCAAGUCUGGUGCAGCAGCCGGUAAUUCCAGCUCCAAUAGCGUAUAUUUAAGUUGUUGCAGUUAAAAAGCUCGUAGUUGGACUUGGUUGGGUCGGCCGGUCCGCCAAUCAAGUUGUGCAACCGUUUAUAACUCGUCCUUACCUGUCGCGAAUGCGCUCCUACCUUAACUGGGCGGAGUCGUGCCUCCGGCGUUGUUACUUUGAAGAAAUAGAGUGCAAAGCAAGCCUACGCUCUGUAUACAUUAGCAUGGGAUAACAUCAAUAGGAUUCGGUCCUAUUAACGUUGGCCUUCGGGAUCGGAGUAAUGAUAACAGGGACAAAGUCGGGGGCAUUCGUAUUUCAAGUCAGAGGUGAAAUUCUUGGAUUUAUGAAAAGACGAACAACUGCGAAAGCAUUUGCCAAGGAUGUUUUCAUUAAUCAAGAACGAAAGUUGGGGCGCUUCGAAGACGAUCGAUACCGUCCUAGUCUCAAACCAUAAACGAUCCGACCAGGGAUCAGCGGAUGUUGCUUUUAGGACUCCGCUGCACCUUAUGAAGAAAUCAAAGUUUUUGGGUUCCCGGGGGGAGUAUGGUCGCAAGGCUGAAACUUAAAGGGAAUUGACGGAAGGGCACCACCAGGAGUGGAGCCUGCGGCUUAAUUUGACUCAAACACGGGGAAACUUACCAGGUCCAGACAUAGUAAGGGAUUGACAGACUGAGAGCUUCUUUCUUGAUUCUAUGGGUGGUGGUGCAUGGCCGUUCUUAGUUUGGUGGAGCGAUUUGUCUGGUUAAUUCCGUUAACUGAACGAGACCUCUCAGCCUGCUAACUAGCUAUGUGGAGGUAUCGCCUACUCAUGAGCCAGAUUCUUAGAGAGGACUAUGGCCUUUUAGGCCAGGAAGUUUGAGGCAAUAACAGGUUCUGUGAUGCCCUUAGAUGUUCUGGGCCGACACGCUGCGCUACACUGAUGUAUUCAACGAGUUAUAUAGCCUUGGCCGACAGGACCCGGGAAAUCUUUGAAAUUUCAUCGUGAUGGGGAUAGAUCAUUGCAAUUGUUGGUCUUAAAACGAGGAAUUCCUCUAGUAAGCGCGAGUCAUCAGCUCGCGUUGACUACGUCCCUGUUGCCCUUUGUACACACCGGCCGUCGCUCCUACCGAUUGAAUGGUCCGGUGAAGUGUUAGGAUCGUGGCGACGUGGGCGGUUCGCUGCCCGCGACGUCGCGAGAAUUCCACUGAACCUUAUCAUUUAGAGGAAGGAGAAGUCGUAACAAGGUUUCCGUAGGUGAACCUGCGGAAGGAUCAUUG
rfam:Helianthus annuus unplaced genomic scaffold HanXRQChr00c1112, whole genome shotgun sequence.